rnacentral:lncRNA from 1 species
GUCGGGUCUGAGUCACCACUAGGGCUGACAAAGGAUUAGAAACCUGGAGCCUUUGCAGGAGUAACAAAGGAGCUGAGACGGGAGGGUCCCUUGUCCUGCUUCAUGAGCCACGCCUCAUACUCAGAGCAAAGCCAGCAUCAACCGAGGCCAUCACAGUUAAGAUUCCUGCAGAAAUCUCCUCUCUCCUCACACAAGAAAGGACUGCCUGGUCCUUUGGCUUCUCAUCUAGCUGAAAUUCCCAAGCUCUGCAGGGUGUAGAAGGAGUUGACCAUCUGGUUACAGAUGAGGAGAAUAAUUGAAGUGAAGACUUAAAUCUCAAAAUCACAGACCUUUCCAACUGAAAAAGAAUAUUAGCAAUUCAGCGCACACCCUUGUUCAGAGAAGAAGCUGAGUCCAGAAAGUUUCCUACAUAAUUCACAUUCCCUGGAGGUCAGCCGGACAUGAGAAAAGAGCUGGGCAAAGCAGUAGACCGAGAUCUGGUCUUAGACUCUACAGAACUCUCCACCUAGCAGGGAACGCAGUCACAUUCAUGAUUUAUGGAUGAUGCGAUACGAGCAGUAUCGCAAAGAGCCACCAGUACUGUGACAAAGACAGAGCCAAAGCUGUCCUGCAGCCACAUGGACUUGGGCAAACCAUUUCAACUUUGAGCUUCAGAAAAAUGGAGACAAGAGCAAUGACAUCACCCUCCAGCAUUCCUAUUAUGUCUGACAGCAACCUAAUAACGCCGUGAUGACUGGCUGAUUUCAUCCUUCUGAGAAAGCAGAGAAAGAAGCAUUGGGAUUCUCUCUCCUGAGAAUCCCAGCCAUGUGGCCCCAGCCUGAGUCCAGGAUGGGUCACUUGGAAAAGAACUAGGGAAGUAACUAGACUGCAGCCCCCAGUGGCCUGCCUCUGUGCAGGUGAACAUCCGGGGUUGAAAGGUCUUUCACAAAGAGUUGAAGGCUACCUGGUACUGAGGAGCUUUGGAGAAGUAUUUGCUGUGAUCAGAAAACUGUAAAAGGAGUCCACAUUUUUUCUCUUUAAACUCAGC